CCGGCUUGAUGUUGGACGGCUGGUGGAGCUUCGCGCUCGACCCCUCCUAAAGACAAUGACGGCGGCUGUGGUUCCCCCGGUACACUGAGCUUUUAACUAGGCACGUAUUGGAUAAGGGCGUCCAGCAUCCGGUCUCCCGUGCCACCUGGUACACUUCUAAGGUUGACCUCGGAUCAGGUAGGAAUACGCGCUGAACUUAA
rnacentral:misc_RNA from 1 species